rfam:Gossypium arboreum cultivar AKA8401 contig_90268_1, whole genome shotgun sequence.
AAACGAUGCAUAGGAAAUUUCUUAAGUAAUUCCUUAAAUCUUUCCCAGGCUUCGUAAAGUGUUUCAUCCUCUGAUUUUUGAAAAUAUGUGAUGUCAUUUCAAAGCUU